UUCAUCCUUUUGACCCUAUUACUCGAGGAUGACCUAGAAUUUAACUAUUAAUCCUAAAUAAAUCAUCCAUAUUAUAUUUCAAUCUUUUUCAAAUCCAUCACAUGGAUUAUCCGGACCCAGAUUUUGCUAAAUUAAAAUACACUGAUGCAUAUCUCCUACUAAUUUGGAGGGGUCAAUCUCAUCUUAACUCACACACUAACUUGAUAAGUACUUGACUGUAUUCAGAAACCUUCCAUUACUAAAUUAGAAACUCAGUUAGUCCGACAUCAAAGUAUAGUGAGUUGCUUGCAAGUCACCAUAGUGAU
rnacentral:lncRNA from 1 species